UGGGCACAGAUGAGUCCAACCCGCUACGUUCGGGGUCGGGCGAGGCGGAGCCUUGCGGUGAAGGGUCGGGCGCACCCGACCCUGGGAUCGUGGGUCGGGCGAGGCGGAGUUUCGCCAUCGAGGGGUCGGGCGUGUCCGACCCCGGGGCCCUGGGUCGGGUGAGACGGAGUGGGAUGCUCCUUGCCCACGCCGGGUCGGCGGUGAUCGUUAUUACCGCAGGUGGGCCUGGGCCUUUAUGAUUGUUGUUUUAAGGGGCAUAAGGAGGUCAUUAAUAUUUUCCCCCAACAAAAACCAAUUUCAC
rnacentral:lncRNA from 1 species